UCCCUCUCAGGGUCGCACCCAGAGAAUUUCCAGUACUCUACCAGUCUUGGCUAUGGGAGGGAGAGUCAAGUAGAGGCCUAACCAUUCCAUUCCUAGCUUGGGCAGUGGCUAGCGAGUGGAAGGUAAUCUGCUACAAGU
rfam:Ornithorhynchus anatinus chromosome 4, whole genome shotgun sequence.